GAUGAACGCUAGCGGGAGGCCUAACACAUGCAAGCCGAGCGGUAUUGUUUCUUCGGAAAUGAGAGAGCGGCGUACGGGUGCGUAACACGUGUGCAACCUGCCUUUAUCUGGGGGAUAGCCUUUCGAAAGGAAGAUUAAUACUCCAUAAUAUAUUGAACGGCAUCGUUUAAUAUUGAAAGCUCCGGCGGAUAGAGAUGGGCACGCGCAAGAUUAGCUAGUUGGUGAGGUAACGGCUCACCAAGGCGAUGAUCUUUAGGGGGCCUGAGAGGGUGAUCCCCCACACUGGUACUGAGACACGGACCAGACUCCUACGGGAGGCAGCAGUAAGGAAGAUUGGUCAAUGGGUGCAAGCCUGAACCAGCCAUCCCGCGUGAAGGACGACUGCCCUAUGGGUUGUAAACUUCUUUUGUAUAGGGAUAAACCUACCCUCGAGAGGGUAGCUGAAGGUACUAUACGAAUAAGCACCGGCUAACUCCGUG
rnacentral:rRNA from 1 species